AAAACAAUUGCAUGGACUAUAUAAUCUUAACACUUGCUCAGCUAUAAAUUAUACACACAAACACCAUCAGAGAAACUCCAAUUUUAUAUCUCAAUUCACAUCAUUGAUGCUUUAACCAAUCCUGCUACCUCCUAAACCAAGCUUUGGCAACACCAGCUUACAAAAUUCUACCAUGACAAUUGCAUCCACAUCACCUCUUGAUUAAGAUAUCUUCUCUGCU
rnacentral:lncRNA from 1 species